rnacentral:lncRNA from 1 species
GGAUUUCGCACAUGUACACUUAAACGUCCGUUUGAAAUUAAGAUCAACAAAAGACUAUGUAGAAUCAAUAAAAAUCAACUCAAAAUAACUAAGCAAAAAUCCAAUAAAUCAAUAUAGGCUGAUAAUGAAAAAAUCAGAGACAAAGUAAGAAGAGAACCUCAAAACAGAGUCAAAGCCAAUGAUUUUGAUUGAACAAUAAAAUCUCUGCGUAAAGUAGUACGACAAUUGUAUUGUUCGAAUGAGAGCGACAUCUAUAACUUGAAAGAAACAAAGGACCUCCGCCGGAGCUCGAACGAAAACUCGACUGACCUUACCGACUCGAUCUCGAAACUACCCAUACGACCUCGACGCUAAACCCGACAUAAGAGUACUAAGUUUGGUGUUGUUCGGCAGCUAUUUUCUGGGUGAUGUUGUGCAGUUGUGUUUGCUGCGAUUUCAGUUGGUUUGAGACGCUUUUAGCUCAUGUUUUGGGGUUGGUUCUCUUGGUUCAGCCGAUGAAGAAGCUAAGGGGUCUCUUUUCUUAGGCUGAAGAAGAGGGGUGUGUCGAGGAAGAUGAAGUUUCGGGGGGGGGGGGGGGGGUCUGUUUUUUGGGUCCAAAACGGCGGAUUUUUUCGCUUAUGAAUCUAGGUCCUCUUUAAUUUAGGAAUUACGUGUUAUUUUAUAGGGGUAUGAAUUAGGUUAAGUCAAAUGGGGAAUGAGUAUGAGCUCAAUAUUUUGGGCUUGAAGGGAUUUUGGUCAUGAAUUUGGGAUAAUUAAACUUUGGGGUAGGAAGAGUAAAUCAAAAUCUUUUUUUUUCUUUUUCUUUGAUUGUAAAAAUCUAAUAAAAUCCUAAAUUAAUCCUAAAUCAAUCUAAUUUGUAAAAAUUAAAAAUGUUUAUCUAUUAAAACAACUAAUUAACUUAAAACUAAAUAAAAACACUACUUUCUAAAGACAAAAAGUUAAAUAUGUAAUAAUGACCAUUUUUGUGAUUUUUUCAUAAUACAAUUAAUUCAUACAUGCAAAUUGGACCUAAGAUGACAUGAAAUUAAAACGUGACAUUUUUUAUGAUUUUUCUAUGAUUUUAAAAUAUUAAAAAUGCAUGAAAUGCAACUAAAUAAAGAAAAACUUCUAAAAUCCCUUUAAAAUUAUUUUUGGUUUAUUUUUAGGAGUCAUUUUCAUGUCGGGCAAAAAUUAUGUUCUCACACCCAGGUAGCUUAGGCAAACAAUAAUCCCUCCACCAAGUCUUGGCGGAACCUGACAGGCCAAAAGUAGCAAAGUCGACCCCAUUGGUCUCAACUAUCCCUAUGUUCCGAAGAACCUCAUGACAGCUGUCUAAAUAAUCCUGGGGAUCCUCUGAAGAUGUACCACCAUAAGUAGUAGUGAACAGCUUGGUGAACCUGUCCAGUCCUUUAGGACAAGCAAGUGAGAAAGGGUGUUUGGCUUAUUUGGCUUAUGUUCGUGAUUUGGCUUAUCUCUUAUCUGAUGCUCUCUGAUGCGAUCAAAUAAAGAAGACCGAGAAAUCACACAAGCCAAUACCUGACUGNNNNNNNNNNNNNNNNNNNNCCUUCUGUUUGAACAAGUGCUAUAGGCUACGAUGAUCAGUAAACACCUCACAAGACAAACCAUAAAAUUUAUGCCUCCAAAUGUUCAACGCGUGAACAAUGGCAGCCAACUCCUAAUUAUGAACAGGGUAGUUCUUCUCAUGGGCUUUAACUGAUGAGAAGCAUAAGCAAUAACUCUACCCUCCUACAUCAACACAUACCCAAUACCAGCCCUUGAAGCAUCAUAAUACAUGGUAUAUAAACCUGUAGCUGAUGGCAAAACUAACACUGGAAUUGUGGUCAAGGCAGUCUUGAGCUUCUGAAAUCUCUCCUCACACUCAUCCGACCACCUGAAUGGAGCACCUUUUUGAGUCAACUUGGUCAAAGGUGAUGCGAUAGAUGAAAAUCCUUGAACAAACCGGCAGUAAUAACCCGCCAAACCAAGAAAACUACAAAUCUCUGUGGCUGAGGUUGCUCUGGGCCAACUCUGAACCGCCUCUAUCUUCUUCAGAUGAACCUGAAUACCUCGAUGGACACCACGUGACCCAAGAAUGACACUAAACUGAGACAAAACUCACACUUGGAGAGCUUUGCAUAAAGCUUCUCCUCCCUCAAUCUCUGCAACACAACUCUCAAAUGCUCCGCAUGAUCCUCCUGACUACGCGAGUAUACCAGCAUAUCAUCAAUGAAAACUAUGAUAAACGAGUCGAGAUAAGGCCGAAACACGUUGUUCAUCAAAUGCAUGAAUGCUGCUGGGGCAUUGGUGAGCCCAAAAGACAACACCAGGAACUCAUAAUGACCAUAUCGGGUCCUGAAAGCUGUCUUAAGAAUAUCUGAGUCCCUGAUCUUCAACUGGUGAUAACCCGAACGGAGAUCAAUCUUGGAGAACACUCUCGCUCCCUUAAGCUGGUCAAACAAAUCAUUGAUACGAGGAAAAGUAUACUUGUUCUUAAUUGUUACUUUGUUCAACUACCUGCAAUCAAUGGACAUCCCCAUCGUGCCAUCCUUCUUCUUCACAAAUAGAACAGGCACACCCCAAGGCAACACACUAGGCCGAAUAAAUCCCUUAUCAAGGAGUUCCUGAACCUGCUCCUUUAACUCCUUCAACUCUGCUUAUGCCAUACGAUAUGGUGGAAUAUAAAUGAGUUGAGUGACCGGCACCAGAUCAAUACCAAAAUUAAUAUCCCUGUCUGGUGGCAUACCCGGCAGGUAUGCAGGAAAUACAUCAGGAAAGACCCUCACAACAGGAAUAGAAUCAAUAUUGGGAGUCUCUGCACCGACAUCCCACACAAAGGCAAGUAUGAAAGACAACCAUUCCCAACCAUCCACUGGGCCUUCAGAAAUGAAAUCACCCUACUAGGGAUAAAAUCAGUAGAACCUCGCCACUCAAUCUGCGGCACACCCGGCAUAGCCAAUGUCACUCUCUUAGCAUGACAGUCCAAUAUAGCACGACACGAAGAUAGCCAAUCUAUUCCCAAUAUCACAUCAAAGUCCACCAUACAGAGCAAUGAUAGGUCUAUUCGGGUCUUCAGACCCCCAAUAGUCACCAUACACGACUGAUAUACAUAGUCCACAACUAUAAUAUCGCCCAGCGGAGUAGCUACAUGAAUAGAUGAAGCAAGAGACUCACAGGGCGUAUUGAAAUAACGGGCAAAGUAUGAUGACACAUAUUAAAAAGUGGAACUAGGAUCAAAUAAUACAGAGGCAUCUCUGUGGCAGACUGAGACAAUACUUGUAAUCACACCAUCUGAAGCAACAUCAUCUGUUCUAGAUGGGAGUGCAUAGAAACGAGCCUGACCACCACCUGAUCGACCUCCCCCUCUAGGGUGACCCCUAACUGACUGACCCCCACCCCUAGCUGCCUGAGAAAUGGUGAAGUAAAUGGAGCUGAAGUAGAGGGCUAACCCCUCUUCUGCGACGGACCCUCAAGAAGACGAGGACACUGCCUCCUCAUAUGCCUAAACUCUCCACACUCAUAACAACUCCUCGGUGCUGGAGACGGGGACUAAAGGGAACCCCUAGCACCGGGAUGACUAGCAGAUGCACCUGGCAUAGAAGAGCCUAAACCGAUGGAGCACGGGCUGAACUCUAGGCGGGAAGGACAUUGAGUGAGGAAUGGCCCUAAUAGGAACUUUGAGAACAAUGACCUAAUGAUGGCCCAUGAUACCCUGGGCAAGCUGACUAAACCUGCCUGAAUGGACGGCCUCUGCCGUGCUGAAACUGACCUCUCGAAGGAGCACUAACAGAGCUACUAGAUCCCCGAGGCCUCUUGGCCUCCCUCUCCUCUCGCUCCUAGUGACGAACUGACUCAAUCUCACGGGCGAUGUCAACAACCUCCUCAAAAGUAGAACCUGACACCCUCUCCCGAGUCAUGAGAAUUCAAAGUUGAUAUGUGAAGCCAUCAACGAACCUCCUGAUCCUCUCUCUAUCUGUGGGAACCAACCUGGCCGUAUGACGAGCUAACUCAGAGAACCGCAUCUCAUACUGUGUCACAGUCAUAUCUCCCUAACGCAACUGCUGAACUGUCUGUGUAGCUCCUCUCUGCGAGACUAUGGCAUAUACUUCUCCAGAAAAAGAACGGAGAACUGCUGCCAGGUAAAGGGUGCUGCACCAACAGGCCUAUACCUCUCAUAAGCCUCCCACCAAGUAAAGGCAGCUCCAAAAAACUAAAAAGUAGUAAAUGCUACACCACUGGUCUGUAGAAUACCCGCUAUAUGAAGAAUCCCCUAACACUUGUCCAAGAAACCCUGGGCACCCUCGGUACUACUGAAAGUCGGAGGUUGAAGUCUAGCAAACCUCUCCAACCGAUGUUGCUCGUCGUCAAGCAUAACUAGUACCACAUACUCCUGAGCCAGUGCAACUGGCUGGGCCGGAGGUACCCCCGAUCUUGAAGUUCCUGCACAACCUGCUCAGGUGUGCAAGCAAUGAGAGUCUGAGUACCUCCCCCAGCCUGAGAAGUAGCUGCGGCCGCAGUUAUUAUAUUAUUAGUUCAGUUUCAGCUUUCAGUAUAUUGCCUUACAUACUCAGUACUUUAUUUUGUACUGAUGUCCCUUUUCUGGGGGCGCUGCAUUUCAUGCGUGCAGGUCAGACAGAUAGACGGGUAGGCCUCUUCAAUAUGUGUUGCCCGAGUUCAGCUUGAUCGAUAUGCUCCAUGCCUUUCGGAGUUUCCAGGUCUGGAGUCGUAUGUACAUCUUAUAUAUAUAUGUUAUGAGUAGGUCAGCGAGCUGUUCCGACCAUAGUAUAUCCAUCAGUAGAGGCUUGUAGACAUAUCCUGUUAGUUAGUGCAAUAUGUUGGGCUUGCAGGCCUUGUAUGUAUAUUUGGUUGAUUUGUCAGCUGUAAUAGUUAUGACGGCCUUGUAGGCCCAGUUUCACAUUGACAUUUGGUCAGCAUUCGCAGUUAUCUUGCAAUGUAGCCCAUGGCCAAAGUAAGAAAUCAUAUGUUCAGAGUCCCUUUGUUUCAAGUUGGUACGCAAGGAUAGGUAAAGCACUAGGUGCCGGUCUCGGCCCUCAGGUUCGGGGCA